CUGUUGUGUUUGACUGGCUUUUUAACUGCAUUAUACUGAGGCUGCACUGUUACUCACCUCUCGUUAAAUUCCAGGGAAUCCACAUGAAUUAUGAGCAUUAUGAAAGUCCAGAAAGAAGGAAGCUCAUGCCUUACUAUUCGCUAGAGAAUCUGCAAGAGACACUGACCAACCAAUGGAUCCUCUGAUGCACACACAGUAAGAUGAUUCACACGAACCAAGGACCUUUCCAUGCUGUGGUUCUCAAAGGACACGGGUGCUACAAGAUCCAUUUAAAAUGUCUCUGCUGCUUGACUUGCCCCAGCAUCCACUUCCCUGUCUCUGUUUCUGCCACAACCACUCGCAAAAAAAUCAAGUGCUGUUUUUGAAGUAUUUUACAGAGGACUAGUUCUCAGUGCUGAGUGAUCUACAGCACAGAUUUUUUUCCAGAUGCAGUAGGAUAGACCCACUCCUGUCUUCACCCAGGAGAAGGGAAAUGUGGGAAAUGCUUCAUUAAGCACUGUGCUCAGAGAUGGGAUUCCAGAGAAGAGAGGGAGCAUAUGUGAAUUUUGCUGUCCUGUCUUGGAAUCACCAAAAAGGAGAGUUAUGUCUCCUGCCUCUAGAGGUGACCUGAGACAACGUGCCUAGUUGCUUCUUCUGCAUCACAGAGGAGCAAAAGAAUGAAAACCAAAGAAAGUGUAAGAAACACCAGUGCUUCUGAAAAAAUGCAAAAGACAGAAAUUUCCCAGUAAGAAAAAACAAUACAAGUCCUAUACCACCUGUCAGCUCCUUAAAGAUAUGACGAAUAAGCAAGAGCAUUUCCUAGAAGCCCUAUACAGACAGCAUUGUGCUAGGGGACAACAGUAUUGAAGCCAGCCAGCCAUAUUCAUCACAUACACUGGAGGACAGCAGGCUGUCUCCAGGAACUGUUGAAGAAGCAGAAACUCCAGCAGCAGCUACAGAAAGGUUCACAGCAAGCAGGAAGAUGCCCACAAGCACGGAUCCUUCUCCUGCACAGAGUGAGCUGGAAAAAUACUUUCAGAUAAGCAUUUAGACAAAAUAAAUGCACAAAGAGCACAUUUACA
rnacentral:lncRNA from 1 species